rnacentral:rRNA from 1 species
GAUGAACGCUGGCGGCGUGCCUAAUACAUGCAAGUCGAGCGAACAGACGAGGAUCUUGCUCCUCUGACGUUAGCGGCGGACGGGUGAGUCACACGUGGAUACCCUACCUAUCAGACUGGGAUAACUUCGGGAAACCGGCGCAAAUACCGGAUAAUAUAUUGCACCGCAUGGUUCGAUAGUGAAAGACGGUUUUGCUGUCUCUUCUAGCUGGAUCUGCGCCGCAUUAGCUAGUUGGUAAGGUAACGGCUUACCAAGGCGACGAUGCGUAGCCGACCUGAGAGGGGGAUCGCCCACACUGGAAGUGAGACACGGUCCAGACGCCUACGGGAGGCAGCAGUAGGGAAUCUUCCGCAGUGGGCGAAAGCCUGACGGAGCAACGCCGCGUGAGUGAUGAAGGUCUUCGGAUCGUAAAACUGUGUUAUUAGGGAAGAACAAAUGUGUAAGGAACUAUGCACGUCUUGACGGUACCUAAUCAGAAAGCCACGGCUAACUACGUG